AUGCUUCAGACCUGUUUCCAUUUUAUUAAUUUUCUGAUGUACUGCUUUGGGCAGAGCUGUGAUUUUCUCUAUUUUGUUAUCUUGUUGAAGUUUUCACUUCUUUACUCUUUGUACCUCCCUUGUGAACCAAAAAACCGUUCUUUUUUUUUUGUGAUUUGCAAUGGGAGUUGUGGACCUAUGAUUGAUACUAAAAUUCUGAUUAUUGUGUUAGAAAAAAGAAUGAGGCCUUUUUGUUGGAUGAUUGAAUUCAAAACCUUCUACUUCUGA